ACAAUAUAGACAAGCAUUGUGAAAAAGACGCCUUGCAGUAGCUUAUAUUGCUUCGCCUUGGCUGUAUUAUUCUUGUGUUUAGUGUUAGCGUUUUCCAUUUAAAAAAGCUUCAGUUCAGUCAACAAUGGAAUUGAUAGGCGUAGUCUUCGUUAUCAUUACCUCGGCUUUAUUCCACAAAUGUUUAUGUUAUCCUUCCGGAGCACCGACUUCGCAAUGUACAAGCAUGACACCAAAUCAUGGGGCUGUUGCUCAAGCAGGAGCAAGUCCGUACGAAGUUAAGGUCAACAGACCGUAUUAUAUGCCAGGGGAAACUGUCAGAGUUUCCAUCGAAAGUUCGGGUGAUAAUAUCAAAGGCUAUCUGAUCCAAGCAAGACAAGUAGGAGGAAACUCAGCGACGGGAAUGUUUGCAGCGGCUCCCGUAAAUGGAAAGCACUUGAGUUGUGGCAAUAGCAAGGUAAAAUUUAAAUUAUAUUCUCAAAGUAGAACACAAAAG